AAUGGUUUUCCCGUGCAGGAUAGCAUGAUCCAUGCACUUGGGAUGUUGCUCGACUUUCGGAAAGCGUAAAAAUACACUCGCCUGCAUGGAUCAUGCAAUCCUGCACGGAAAACCAU